AUGAACGGUCUAUUUUGGAAUUGCAGAGGGGCAGGAAAAAGAGGGAGGACUACCUGCUUCUCUGAUAUCAUUAGAGACCACUCCCUCGACUUUAUGGGCAUCCUAGAAACGAAGAAAGAUAACUUUACUCCUAAAUAUCUUAGGAAAGUUGACCCCUCUGAAAGAUUUAGUUGGAACUGGAUUCCUUCCACUGGUAAAUCUGGUGGCAUCCUUUGUGGGAUCAAAAAAGAAACCUUGGAAAAUAUAUCUUGGGAGGCAGGGAAAUAUAUGUUACAAGCCACGGUCUAUGACACUAAGCUCAAGUGUGUUUGGACCCUUGUGGUGGUUUAUGGGGCAGCUCAAGAGGAUAAGAGAGACGAGUUCCUAGAUGAGCUUGCUUCGGUGUGCAGCAAUAUUAAAACACCCUAUGUAAUUGGCGGGGAUUUUAACAUUUUAAGGGAUGGUAGUGAUAAGAACAAGUCUCUCCAUAGGUCGCAUCAUAUGGACAGAUUUAACACUAUCAUCCAGGCGUUAAACCUUAGAGAGAUUCACAUGGGAGGAGGCAGAUUCACGUGGUCCAAUAAACAGAGACAUCCCACGCUCGAGAAACUCGAUAGAGUGCUCAUGAGCUUUGAUUGGGAGAGUCUAUUCCCACUGGUUGCAGUUCGUAAACUAGUGAGAGAUAUUUCUGAUCACAACCCGUUGCUGUUGAUGACUAACCCCCUGAAUAGGAGUCCCAUGCGCCAACGUGAGUUCAUAUUUGAACUCAGCUGGCUAAAGAAUGAGGAUUUUUACGAAAAAGCUAAGAACAUUUGGGAACAACCU
rnacentral:rRNA from 1 species